UCGUCUCUCUCUCUCUCUUGUUCUGAUCUUCAAGCUCCAAAUCAACAACCACCACGCGCCGACAUUCAUUUUAUUCUCUCUCUCUGUUUUCUUUGUCGUUUCUUUCCAUUCAAUUUUCUUCAUUGUGUUUUCUGUUUUGCAGGGUUUCUUGAUUUCUUCUUCUUCUUCCCUCUCCAAUCAUGGAUGCGGGGUCUUGGAGUUCUUCCACCGAGAUCAAAUCCCGAUCCCCUCUCCAAGUGAAUUCCCUCCACAGAAAGAAUUAUCAGGAAAACUUGGACAGGUUCAUUCCCAAUAGGUCAGCCAUGGACUUCGGUUACGCUCACUACAUGCUUACGGAGGGAAGGAAGAUCAAAGAGAAGCCGGCGGUGACGUCGCCGUCGCAAGAAGCCUACCGGAAGCUACUGGCGGAAGCCUUGAACAUGAACCGGACUCGAAUCUUGGCCUUCAAGAAUAAGCCCCCAACGCCGGUUGAACUCAUCCCCAAGCAUAUUCUUUCCCCUCCUCCUCAAUCCAAAUCCUCCAAGCCCAAGCGAUACAUUCCUCAGAGUUCUGAGAGGACCUUGGAUGCACCUGGUAUCGUAGACGACUUCUACUUGAACUUACUAGACUGGGGUAGCAGCAACGUCCUCAGUAUUGCCCUUGAAAAUACGGUAUAUCUUUGGAAUGCCGAUGAUGGCUCCACUUCAGAACUUGUCACUGUGGAUGAGGAAGAUGGUCCGGUUACAAGUGUUAGCUGGGCUCCUGAUGGACGCCAUUUAGCCAUUGGUUUGAACAAUUCCCUUGUCCAACUGUGGGAUUCUAUCGAUACUAAGCUGCUAAGAACACUGAGUGGUGGACACCAAGCACGAGUGGGUUCACUAGCUUGGAACAAUCAUAUCCUUACAACGGGAGGAAUGGAUGGUAGAAUAGUUAACAAUGAUGUUAGAGUAAGAUCUCCCAUUGUUGAAACCUACAGGGGACAUCAACAGGAGGUCUGUGGGCUCAAGUGGUCUGCCUCGGGACAACAAUUGGCCAGUGGAGGCAACGAUAAUCUUAUUCAUAUAUGGGACAGGUCCGCAGUCUCUUCCAAUUCAGCAACCCGUUGGCUUCACAGGCUUGAGGAGCACGGAGCUGCUGUAAAGGCACUGGCUUGGUGUCCCUUUCAGGGAAAUCUACUAGCUUCUGGUGGAGGUGGGGGUGAUCAGUGCAUUAAGUUUUGGAACACCCAUACGGGUGCAUGCUUGAACUCUGUUAACACAGGCUCUCAGGUGUGCUCUCUGCUGUGGAACAAGAAUGAGCGUGAGUUGCUUAGCUCGCACGGUUUCACCCAUAACCAGCUCACUCUUUGGAAAUAUCCUUCUAUGGUGAAGAUGGCAGAGCUCAAUGGUCAUUCCUCCAGGGUGCUAUUUAUGACUCAAAGUCCAGAUGGGUGUACUGUGGCCUCUGCAGCAGGGGAUGAGACUCUGCGAUUUUGGAAUGUCUUUGGAACCCCAGAAGCGUGCAAACCAGCCCCAAAGGCAAACACUGAGCCCUUUGCUCAUUUCAACCGUAUCCGUUGAAGAUGACAUGUAAAACUUUUGCUGCAAAUAUUGUAUAGGGGAUUCUGUGCUAUAGGUUGUCAUACAAUUAAGCUAACUGCUGAAUGUCCUGGAGCUGUAUUUUAUGCAAUGAUGAAGUAUGCUUUAGACACCCCCUAUAGUUCAGCUGAAUGUAGUUUGGAGGUAUGAACAUACUUGGAAAACUUGGCGUCUUGGCCUUUCCAGAGGUACCAACUACCAAGCAACAAAAUUUGAAAAAUGAUCAGAACAAAGAUAGCUUGAUUAAGAAUGUUUAGGUUGUACUUAAAAAAUGGAAAAAGGUUCUUAGAUCCUACCUGAUUGACAUUAAUGAGCAGAUUGAAGUAAUAUUAAAAUUUGAAGAAAUGUGUUUGGAAUCUUCUAAGGAGUUUGCUCCAUUGUUCACAAGGAUUUUGCACUACAUGUAUAAUGAAGAUAUUGGAGAAGAAGAUGCUAUUUUGAAUUGGGAAGAUGAGAAGAAAGACGCAGAUGAGUCACAUUAAGUUUUUGUUAAGCAGGCCCAAAAAUUAAUUCAAGUGUCCUUAUGUAACUUUUUUUACACCCUUAUAAAACUAGGUGGUUACUUACGUUUUCACAACUAUUCUAUGAGAUGCAUUACUUUCUCAUGUAAGCCUUUUUAUCGUUUCUUGUCUGUAGUGAUUAUUUUGACAAGGAAGAAUAGAAAGGAUAUUACUUUCUCAUGUAAUCCUUUUUAUCGUUUCUUGUCUGUAGUGAUUAUUUUGACAAGGAAGAAUAGAAAGGAUUUCGCGAGGCUAGAUACUCUAUCUUUUUCCCGGUUCUUUCAUCUGGGGAACUUAAAAGGGAUUUUUGUGCAUUCAUCUAUGCAGGAAUUCAAGUGGGGAGUUAUUUUGACAUGUUUCUUUGUAUAUCCUGUUGUGGAGGAAUAAUAGAAUCUAAUGAAAAUCGAAGGCUUCAGAAGAACACAAAGUCUCAAGUUUGUUACAAUGUAUGAUCACUUAUCUGUCAAU